rnacentral:rRNA from 1 species
GACGAACCGUGCAAACGUUGUUCGGAUUCACUGGGCUUAAAGGGCGCGUAGGCGGCUUGCCAAGUCGGGGGUGAAAUCUUUCGGCUCAACCGGAAAACAGCUUUCGAUACUGGCAGGCUUGAGGGAGGUAGGGGCGGAUGGAACUUCCGGUGGAGCGGUGAAAUGUGUAGAUAUCAGGAGGAACACCGAUAGCGAAGGCAGGUCUCUGGGCAUUAACUGACGCUGAGGAGCGAAAGCAUGGGGAGCGAACAGG